CGGGUAAAUAAUACCCGGUACCCGGGGGUCAAACACAAACGAUAACUAAAAUUUACGAAUCAUAUACCGAAUCGAAGCUCGAGUGAUGCUAAUCACAGAUCCGGUCUUAAUUUCCGAUGAUCGUACCCGACAGGGUCGGAAUUUCGCCGGGAAGCUUUUCGGGUUUCGGCUCCACAAUUCUCCCAAACCGUCGCGAAUUGGAGGCAACGGAUGCAGGAUUCGGGUUCAGGAGGUCGAACACUGCGGACUGGAGCUGGCCGGAAUUUCGGGUACUCGCCGGAACAGUAAUUUCCGGCGGGCCGCCACGGUCACCGGCAACCGUCGCCGGCGGCGGCGCAUGCGGUGGCUGUUGGCUGUGAAAUUUUGCAGACUUGUAGAUCUUGAGGAGAGCAAUCCAACGGGACCGACGGUGAGCAAAAUGGAGGUCGGACGGCAGAGAAAUCACCGUUUGAAGAUUUCCGGCCCCUCGCCGGAAAACGCUCCGAUCCCGGCGCGUCGGUGGUCCGAUGGCCGUGAUUUUUGGUGGGUAGGCCGGACUUGAGGAGAGGAUCAAGGCUAGCUGACGCGUGUACUGUAGAUCAGCCGGAACAGGGUCGAUUCGCGGUGGCCGGAGGUGGAGGGGUAAAAGUUGCCGCCAAACUUCGAAGGUCCGAUCCCGGCGCGUCCGGCGGCCGUUCACCGUGAAACUUGGAGGUUUUGCUGGAAAUAAGGUGGGCAACCUGGCUGGCCGGUGCGUGUACAGUAACUCGGCCGGAAAGUUUGAAAAUUACCGGCGGCCGGUGACUCUCUCUCUCUCUCUCUCUCUCCUCUCUCUCUUUCUCUCUCCUCUCUCUCUUUCUCUCUCUUCCCCAAGAGUUUUAACAAAUAAAAACCCUGUGUGACACUGUUCAUUCCAUGUGGACCAAUCAGAAGCUGACACGUGGCGUUACUGUGCACUUAAGCCAGAUAUAUUAAAAUAAUACGGUACCCGGCGAAUUUCAAACGUCCGUAACUUUUUAACCAAAUGUCCGAUUUAAGCGUGCCGCUAGUCUAUGAACUCGUAUCGACGAGUACUUUACAACCAUACAAGAGUCAACUCAAAAUUACAUCACAAGAAAAAGUCAACUCCCGGCACCUUUUGGACAGUUUGCACUUCAACUUGUUUCGCCCAUAACUUUCAAACCGUAGCUCCGUUUUCGACGUGCUACUAGUCUACGAACUCAGGGCGUCAUGCACUUCGCCACGGUACCCUGGUCAACUCGAAAUUCCCACUAGAGCAAAAAGUCAACUUUUGACCCGCUCGUUCAAUGGUCAACCUCGGUCAACGUGCACGGAUUCCGGUGCGAUUUGGGACGGGGUGUUACACUUCAUGUACCUGUUAUAAAGUUGGUAAACCCUCCACAGGUAUAGAAGCAUAAACUAAUUCCUUGUAUUCAACUCACCAAUUUAGAAAGCGAGAAAAUAGUAUUGUAUUCAUAAAUUACCUUGACAAUACUCAAAUAACUCUAAUUCCAGUUGAAAACAUCUAGCUAAAUUUUCUUCAAAAAAUCCCACCUAUCUUUAGCAAAAUAAAAAGAUCUCAAGCUAAAAACAAUGUGAGUUUCUAUAGAACUUAAAAUCCAACUAAUUACUUUAGCAUCUUUAGAAUUCCUUUAAGCAACUUUACCAAUAUUAGAAUAAGCCUUAAGCUUUGCAGAAAAUCCAUCUAAGUGUCCCCACAAAUUCUUUCCUUUCACAAACAUCCAAAAUUGAAAUUUCCAUGAAGAAUAAUUUUUUCACAUUUAAUUUAACAGGCAAAAUCAUUUUUCUACCAUUAUAAAAAUAGAAGGAUCUCUUUAUUUCCACGCAAGUCAAAACGGCAGCUCUCUGCAUCUUCAAAGGUUGAAGCAAAUCAUUGCUCUCUUUGAAUUUCUUCUUUGCAUUUCUCUUGGAUUUUCUUUCGUUUUUUCUGCAGGUAGCCAAUCUUCUCGAUGUUUGUGCCAUUCAAGUUGUCACCAAUCAGGUUGUUUUUUUUUUUUUUUUUUGGCCCUUCUAUUAUCCUCUCUCUGUCUAUAUUUGAAUUUUUGUGGUUUUGCUUUUUUUCCUUUUUUUUUUCCAUUCUGUUUUGGUCAUUGUGGUUGGAAAGAAAUGUUGCAUUGUUUUGUCAAAAUGUGAGAAUUUUGGAAACUUGGUGCUGCUUUGAUAUGUUCUUCAUGUACACGUUGCCUGUGCUAUGAUUUUUCUUGGUGUUGAUGAUGUUAUAUUUUAAUGACCAUAUACAGUUCGUUGAAAUUACGAUGUGAAUGUUAGUCUUAGUAGUUUGGCUCGGAUUAGAUGGAGAGUGAUAGUAUUAGACUUACUAAGCUGAACUAUAUUUUGUUGGAUUAUUCAUCUGAGAAACUGAAGAGGUUGAAGCAUGCUGUAGAGGUUUGUUUAUUAAGAAUGCCAGCUUGCUGAGGUCGCAUCAAAACUACAAUUUUGGUUGAAAUAACAUGGCCACACCAAUAUUUGACCUCCAUGCCUACGAUGCUCUUAGCUUGGUGCCUAAUAGGACCACUCACAACCUACAACUCGUUAAGACCCUUUCUAGCCUUUUCUUUUUAUGCAUAUUCAUCCCAGACCCUGCUAACAUUGUGAGAUCAUGGGUGGUUACAGCUGCUAGGAUGCAGGAGAGGAGGAACAAAUGGUGAGCCAUUUUAUGUAGUGUUUUUUUUUUUUAAAUAACUUUUUGAUUUGGGUUAUGAAGAAAAUGUGAUAGAUUUCACUAUGGUUUAUAUAAAGAGAGUAACAUGAAGAUAUUUUUGGUAUAGAAAUUGCUUAUUAAGCACUUGUGAAAUUUAAUAAUGUGGUCUUGAAAGUUAUGGCGUUGGUCAUGAAAGAACAAAUCUUCCUUUUCUUGUGACUCUCAAUCCAAAAGACAAACCAAAACAAACCUUGCUUAAGUGGUCUAAUGGCCACCCCGUUCCAUCUGUUGCUGCAUCAAAAGCUUCACUUGAACUUCAUCAUAUUCAAGGAAAGAAAGGAAUUUGGUUUUGCGGAGCAUAUCAGGGUUAGCUUUCCUGCUUUUUAAAGAUAGCAAACAUUAAAAUCCUGAAAAGAAGACCUGAAUGUUUCCUAGCUAAGUCAUAGCUCUAUCUUGGAAUAACUUAUUUAAAAUAUUAAAAUCAGAAUAAGUAGGAUUAUAGGUCUCCAAUUCUUUAACUGUUCACAUUGCCUUUACAUUUUCUAACUUUGAAUAUCUAUUUUAUGUUUCUGUCAGGUAAUGGCUUCCCAUCAGGAUGGAUUGAAGGUAAAAGGCAAUUUCUUGUAGUGGCUCCAAUAAGUACUGAGGGGAUGGCCCCUGGAAUGGCCUUCAAUACACUGGUCUGCUAUGCUUGGAAUAUAGGGGCUCAAAAUUGGGAUGUGUUCUCAUCAGUGCCAAGAGACAAUUGUGACGGGUAUGGCGUGUGUGGCACCUAUCGAAACAAUGUCAUUUGGGAAGCCCCUAUUUGCCAAUGUUUCAAGGGUUUCAAGCCAAAAGGAAACUUCAUGGACUGGUCUCAAGGAUGUCUAACCUUUUGACUGCCAGGAACGACAUUCAUCUGGCUUUGUCAAAAUCCGUGGCUUGAAAUUGCCUAAUACUACAUAUGUUCGAAUGCACGCUUUAGAAUUAAGUAUAUAUGGCAUCAUUACCUCAUCUUUUCAUUUUCAUGUGUUUUAUUUUGCAUAUAUUAAUGCUUAUUGUCCACGUUAAUGCCACUUUUGUAUUAUGGUAUGCCAAAAUUAAAUGUGAAGGUGGAGAUGGAAAGCGGAUGCAUGGUGAAAAUAGGUGUGGUAAUUCCGGGUGGUCUUGGUCGUUACAUCCGCCAAGUCAUGACUAGGAAUGGGCUAAGAGGUAAAAGUAUAAACCUCAUCACCUUUGCAAUACUAUGUGAAUUUAUCUAUAAACUAUGUCUAAAUAAUGCAAUCCUUGCGAAUAGCAAGUAGCGAAAGGCUACUAUUUCAUGAAAAUAAAUAAAUAAAUAUAAAUUUAUAAUUUAAAAUUUAAAAUUUAUUCUUAAUUACAAUAUUCUUAAGCAUUACUCUACUCAACUAUCAUUUAAAAAGAUAUCUUUUUUUUUUUUUUAAUUUACUAACUUUUUGCUAAACAUUUUAAUAAUAUUUUUUACGCUUGCCUAGGUGUGGCAAAUUUUUGCACAACCUGUUAAUCUAACAAAUUAUAUCCAUAAUGGGUUAACCUGUUAAAAUCCAUCGUUUUAGCAGGUUAUUAAUGAGGACACCCAUUAAAAUUCUUUUCAUUAGUUAAAAAGCAUGGGUCUAUAACUAGUUUUUACUAAAAAAUUAUUAGAGUUUCGAGAGUUUUAGGGUGAAACAAAAAAAAAUAUAUAUAUAUAUAUAUAUAUAUUAUUUGUUAGGUUAUUUUAUAUUAUUUUUUUAUGACUUCAGUUAUGUUUUUAGUUUUCUAAAUAUAGCAUUUUUUUUUUCAUUACAAGAAAUGAAUAUGUGUAUCAGACUAGUUUUUCUUUCUUUUCUUUUUUUUUUGUUUUAUUUAGUUUUGCAUAAUUAUAAACUUGUUAAAUAGAUUUAUUAUAAGUAUUUUCUUUUAAUUUUUUUUCAUAACAAUUUAAAUGAGUUGUUAACAGAUUACAAGUUACUGUAACAAACGAUUUGAAUUUUAGCAUGGUGUUUUUGGAAAAUUUAACACGACAUGAUACCACCAUUUCCAGGUCUACUUGAGUCAUCUUAAUUUUAUUUAAGGUUUUUUUUCUUUUUCUUUUUUUUUUUUUUUUUUGGGAUAAUUGUACUUUGUGUCUUUAAAAUCACCUAAUUUCAUUUUGGGGCUCUAAAAUUAAUUUUGUCACAUUGAUAUAUCAUGUUUUCAAAAUUUUUACAAAUUAGUCCAAUUCAGUUAAGAUUGACAAAAUUCAUCAAAUAGAAAUCAUGGGUGAUGCAUGUAACUCCCAAAUAUGAUUUUUUAAUUUUAUUUUUUUUAGAUUUACCAUUUUUAAAAAAAAAAUUUAAAAAAAUCCAAGAGAUCAAAAAAUUUCGGAUAUUCGAAAAAAAUCUAGCCCAAAAAUAUACCAAUGGUUUAAAAAAAGAAAAUUAAGAACUCGAAAAAAAUACCAGAAAAUUAAAAAAAUUUUGACAUCCUAAAAAAAUACUAAAUGUUUACAAAAUAUUCUGAGAGCCCACAAAAAUGCUAGAUAUUCAAUAAAAAAAAUCCAAGACCCAAAAAAAAUAUUAUAUGUUCAAAAAAAUUUUGAAAGCCCAAAAAAUACUAGAUGGCUAGAAAAAUUACAAGGGCUAAAAAAAAUAUCAUAUGGUAAAACAUAAUUUUGGAAGCUCGAAAAAAAUAUCAUAUUGAAAAAACAUUCUGAGAGCUCAAAAAUUUAUGAGAUGAUUAAAAAAAUUGAGUGCCAAAAAAAAGGGAAAAUGAUAAUAAAAAAAAAAAAUCCAAUAGCUUAAAAAAAAAAAAAAAAAUCAGAUGUUUAAAAAAAUAUUCUGAGAGCCCAAAAAAAAUUUUAUAUUUUUUUCAAGCUCUAGAAAUUUCUUUUACUAUCGGUUAUUUUUAUUAACCCUCGAAAUUUUUUUAACCAUCUAGUAUUUUAUUUUAGACUCUUCGAAUUUUUUUUACCAUUUUACCGUACUCUCAAAAUAUUUUUUACCAUCUAAAUUUUUUUAGAGUAUCUGAUUUUUUUCUUUUCUUGAGCUCUCAAAAAUUUUUCUAAAUAUUUGGUAUUUUUUUGGACAAUCAGAAUUUCUUUAGCCAUUUAGUAUUUUUUUCGUGUUUUUGGAAUUAUUUGAACAUCUAUUACUUUUAUUGUGCUUUUGAAUUUUUUUGAACAUUUGUAUUUUUAUCAUGUUUUUGGAUUUUUUUUACUGGUAUUUUUUUUUUUUUUUUUUUUGGCUUUGAGAUUUUUUUUGAAUAUCUGAUAAUUUUUUGGAGUUCUUAGAAUUUUUUUUUUUUACCAUAUGGCAUUUUUACUAUUCUUUCAUAACUUUCUUACCAUCUGAUUUUUUAGGCUGUUAGAUUUUUUUAACACCUAGUAUUUUUUUGGUCUUUAGAAUUUUUUUUGAACAUCUAUUCUUAUUUUAGGCACUCAAAAUUCUUUCUAACAAUUUGGUAUUUCUUUUUGUUAUAUCAGAUUUUUUUUGAACAUCUGUAUUUUUAUUGUAAUUUGGAAAUUUUUUUAACACUUAAUAUUUUUUUUGAGUUUUUAAAUUUUUUUAAACAUCUGAUAUUUUUUUUCAUUUAGAAAACUUUUUUUUAAUUUCUUAAAUGGGAAAAUAUCUUCCCCUUUAAUCUUUUUUACUUUCCCUUUCAGUUGCUUAUAUUUUUUUUUCUUUUUUUUAACUCAAAAAACAUAUACAAAGUUUAAGAGAGAGAGAGAGAGAGA